CUCUUGUGUGGAAGGUCCGCUUAUCUUCCAGCACCUGUGCUUUGAAGGGUGUUGGAGUGCAAAGUAGGGAGGGUGGGGGGUUCCUAUGGUUUUUGGGUGCACGCCAAGGAGGCAAGAGGAAGCCACGAGGUUUAGAGCUUCUUUACGGCGUCAUCAUCAUCAGCAGUAGCAGCAGCAGCAACAGCAGCUUCAGCAGCAGAGGCGGCAGAAACGACAGAAUAGGCAGCGCAUCCCUCAGUCUAGCGCUCACUCCGCUGCUCAAGAGGAACAGGAGAAGAGGAGCUUGUGGCUUUGUGUUCGGUCUGAGAGCUGCAGAGAAAAGAGAAUCAGAGUAACGGGGACAGACUGACAGGCAUCCUUGGAUCCUGGCUUGUGUAUCUCCCUGUCAUGUGGAGCCUCUGUGACCAUCUGGAAAAACCCACAACUGCUACCAGAUGAGUCUCCAGUUCACCAUUCAGAUGCAACCUUUGGCUGGCUUGCCUUGUGAAAAAAAGCCUCACCUUCAAUCAGUCCCCCCCUAGAGAGAAGGUCUCUGGUGUUGGCCUGUGUGCCACGGUGGAUGUAUGAGUGUCAGGCUCUUCCCUCCUCCCUCUUCUUUCUGAGGCUCUCUUCGGUGACGGGUAUUCUUGGGUGGAUAAUACGGAUCACGUUGUUAUUGCUUAAGAAUACGCGUAGUUGAGGAGAGUCAUUUUCGACCGUGCCUUCAGGGAGCUGACCUCGGCUUAACCGCUCUCCAGACGUCCUAGCCGAGCACUGUUGUUAGAGGAGGGAAAAAAAAAAAGAGGGGAAAAGAGUGAACGUUUCUAUCGAGGUUCAUUUAUCAGUGCAGCAGAUAAUCAUUUCCCCAGCGUUUGCAUUGAUUUCUCUACGGCAAGCCUUCAUGUUGUUAUUAUUCCAGCGUUCUAGCGAGGUGUAUCAGGAGGCUGGCAUUUCCUGCUUGCCGAGACUUCAUCCGUAUCCGCUGUGCAUUUAUAUUUCUCCCACCAUCUCGCUAUCAUCCAUCCUGCCAAAGUGAUGUUUUAUGUA